AAACUUUCAACAACGGAUCUCUUGGUUCUGGCAUCGAUGAAGAACGCAGCGAAAUGCGAUAAGUAAUGUGAAUUGCAGAAUUCAGUGAAUCAUCGAAUCUUUGAACGCACAUUGCGCUCCCUGGUAUUCCGGGGAGCAUGCCUGUUCGAGCGUCAUUA
rnacentral:rRNA from 4 species